rnacentral:rRNA from 1 species
GACGAACCGUGCAAACGUUGUUCGGAAUCACUGGGCUUAAAGGGCGCGUAGGCGGCUUGCCAAGUCAGGGGUGAAAUCCUGCAGCUCAACUGUAGAAGUGCCUUUGAUACUGGCGAGCUCGAGGGAGGUAGGGGUGGGUGGAACUUCUGGUGGAGCGGUGAAAUGCGUUGAUAUCAGAAGAAACGCCGGUGGCGAAAGCGACCCACUGGAUCUCUACUGACGCUGAGGCGCGAAAGCUAGGGGAGCAAACGGG